rnacentral:rRNA from 1 species
GACGAACGCUGGCGGCGUGCCUAAUACAUGCAAGUAGAACGCACAGUUUAUACCGUAGCUUGCUACACCAUAGACUGUGAGUUGCGAACGGGUGAGUAACGCGUAGGUAACCUGCCUGGUAGCGGGGGAUAACUAUUGGAAACGAUAGCUAAUACCGCAUAAUAUUAAUUAUUGCAUGAUAAUUAAUUGAAAGGUGCAAUUGCACCACUACCAGAUGGACCUGCGUUGUAUUAGCUAGUAGGUGAGGUAACGGCUCACCUAGGCGACGAUACAUAGCCGACCUGAGAGGGUGAUCGGCCACACUGGGACUGAGACACGGCCCAGACUCCUACGGGAGGCAGCAGUAGGGAAUCUUCGGCAAUGGACGAAAGUCUGACCGAGCAACGCCGCGUGAGUGAAGGAGGUUUUCGGAUCGUAAAGCUCUGUUGUAAGAGAAGAACGGGUGUGAGAGUGGAAAGUUCACACUGUGACGGUAUCUUACCAGAAAGGGACGGCUAACUACGUG